UGACUGAAACAAGUAAAAGAGUAAAGAAAAUAGUCAUUGCAUGGUGAUCGCCAUAAGCUUUAAGUUUAUAUAAAAUACCAUUAGUAUUAUUUGCAGGAUUGUAAAACACGGCACCGUA